rnacentral:rRNA from 1 species
CAAGCGCGAUAAGGGCGUUUGGUGGAUGCCUUGGCAGUAAGAGGCGAUGAAGGACGUGAUACUCUGCGAUAAGCUUGGGGGAGGUGAGAAUAACCUUUGAUCCCAAGAUCUCCGAAUGGGGCAACCCACUUGAUAUUCUGUUGUUGUUGCCUUGCAACAACGCACACUCCGUGCGGACCGUUGGUCCGUGACCAUCUUCGAUGGUCGGGGCAUGGCGUUGGGGCAGGACAGUCAUCAACGGGGUAAAUCAAGUACUUUUAGGCUGAAUACAUAGGCUUAAAAGAGCAAACCCGGGGAACUGAAACAUCUAAGUACCCGGAGGAAAGGAAAUCAAUAGAGACUCCGUUAGUAGUGGCGAGCGAACGCGGACCAGCCGAGCCUUGAGUGUGACUGGAACUGUCUGGAAAGACAGGCCAUAGUGGGUGACAGCCCCGUACAGGAAGCACGAUAGGACGUAUCAAGUAGGGCGGGACACGUGAAAUCCUGUCUGAAGAUCGGGGGACCACCCCCGAAGGCUAAGUACUCCUUACUGACCGAUAGCGAACCAGUACCGUGAGGGAAAGGUGAAAAGCACCCCGACGAGGGGAGUGAAACAGACCUGAAACCGGACGCCUACAAGCAGUCGGAGGGACCAUGAGUCCUGACGGCGUACCUUUUGUAUAAUGGGUCAACGACUUGGUCUAUCUAGCAAGCUUAAGCCGUUAGGUGUAGGCGCAGCGAAAGCGAGUCUUAAAUGGGCGCAUGAGUUAGAUGGAUCAGACCCGAAACCGAGUGAUCUAGGCAUGGUCAGGCUGAAGGUUGGGUAACACCAACUGGAGGGCCGAACCCACAUCCGUUGAAAAGGAUCGGGAUGAACUGUGCCUAGGGGUGAAAGGCCAAUCAAACUCGGAGAUAGCUGGUUCUCCGCGAAAUCUAUUUAGGUAGAGCGUCGCACGAAUACCCCGGGGGGUAGAGCACUGGAUGGGUAAUGGGGCCCCACAGGCUUACUGAUCCUAACCAAACUCCGAAUACCCGGGAGUA